rnacentral:rRNA from 1 species
UACGGGGGAUGCAAGCGUUAUCCGGAUUUAUUGGGUUUAAAGGGUGCGUAGGCUGUGAGGUAAGUCAGCGGUGAAAUGCCCCCGCUCAACGGGGUGAAGUGCCAUUGAUACUGCCUUGCUGGAAUGCGGAUGCCGUGGGAGGAAUGUGUGGUGUAGCGGUGAAAUGCAUAGAUAUUACACAGAACACCGAUUGCGAAGGCAUCUCACGAAUCCGCGAUUGACGCUGAUGCACGAAAGCGUGGGUAUCAAACAGG